CUACGCGACGCCACAGCCGGAGGCAUUCUGCAAUCAACGCACUGACUGGGACUAAUGAAAGGCGACAGGAUAAAGAGCCUCGCCGCUGACUUCUCCUCAUCGGAAUUUAGCCCUGUGUACACCCCUGUGUCUCAGCUUUUGCUGUGCACUUCUGCUGCUGCUCAUUCCCCUGGACCUUGAUUGCCUUCCCGAUCCUCGACCCCACGCUUGGACUCCUGGACGCCUCUCUCCUGCCCCACGACCCCGCUCGGACCUUGGACCCCUUUUGCCUUUUCCCCUCUGGACUUGUUUGCUACCACAUCCAACACGCACUCCAACAAACCUUCCGCCCCUGUGUUUCAGCUUUUGCUGUGCAUUUCUGCUGCUGCUCAUUCCCCUGGACCUUGAUUGCCUUCCCGAUCUUCGACCCCACGCUUGGACUUUUGGACGCCUCUCUUCUGCCCCACAACCCCGCUCGGACCUCGGACCCCUUUUGCCUCUUCCCCUCUGGACUUGUUUGCUACCACAUCCAACACGCACUCCAACAAACCCUCCGGUAUUUACAUACAUUUAAUUUCCACACAUAGUAUUCCAUUCACACACAUAGUAGCAUACACACCCCACGUAAUCAUCAAGUGCUCAAUAAAACCCGUUGAGCUUGACCCUCAGUUGUCGUGCCGUCUCCUUCCUCCCUGUUGAUACAUAACAUUUUCAUGUGUUAGUUUCAACAAAAUCUAUACAAUAAUUGUUUUUUUAAUACACGUAAACAUACCGUGUGUGUUUAUAGGGCGGAAACUUUGGUUUAGUGUGGGAUGGAGGGUCCUUUUGUGUGGGGUGCCAGAAUUUGGUGCUAUACCCCAGACUGAGUCAGCCUGCAAUGAUCGUUGAUGAUACUAUUUUGUCUAAAUAUUAUAUCUCAUAUUCUUAUAUCACUAGUUGACACUUAUUUUGCAAG